AAGUAAAAGUCGUAACAAGGUUUCGUCAAAGGAGAUCCUUCUUGGAAGCCUUUUGCACACCGACUAUAACCAUGUGUACAGUCUGGAUUCAGUGGAGUCCGGGCGACGUCAUCCCUGUGCUGGAACCCUAUAGCCUUUAUAGGGAACCAGCGGCCAGGCUUUCCUGGUUCACAGAUUAGGUGGUGGCGGUCUCCAGCACUGGUGCUGGGGAUCAAGAUAUAAUCGGUCUCCAUGCUCAGUCAUGGACGAGAAACGUUCCGUAGGUGAACCUGCGGAAGGAUCAUUA
rnacentral:rRNA from 1 species